rnacentral:rRNA from 1 species
AGUGAACGCUGGCGGUAGGCCUAACACAUGCAAGUCGAACGGCAGCACAGUAAGAGCUUGCUCUUACGGGUGGCGAGUGGCGGACGGGUGAGGAAUACAUCGGAAUCUACUUUUUCGUGGGGGAUAACGUAGGGAAACUUACGCUAAUACCGCAUACGACCUACGGGUGAAAGCAGGGGAUCUUCGGACCUUGCGCGAUUGAAUGAGCCGAUGUCGGAUUAGCUAGUUGGCGGGGUAAAGGCCCACCAAGGCGACGAUCCGUAGCUGGUCUGAGAGGAUGAUCAGCCACACUGGAACUGAGACACGGUCCAGACUCCUACGGGAGGCAGCAGUGGGGAAUAUUCGACAAUGGGCGCAAGCCUGAUCCAGCCAUACCGCGUGGGUGAAGAGGGCCUUCGGGUUGUAAAGCCCUUUUGUUGGGAAAGAAAAGCAGCAGGUUAAUACCCCGCUGUUCUGACGGUACCCAAAGAAUAAGCACCGGCUAACUUCGUG